rnacentral:lncRNA from 1 species
CGAUUACUGUAGGUCGCUUGGACUUUGACUAAAUACUAUGUUUUAGAAAUUUAUCUUUAGGAGAUAAAUUUUGGGGGUUUAUCUUUUACAUUUGCUUCAUUUAAAUAAAAGUAGGCUUUCUAGAAGUUAUGUUUUACAGUACCAUUUACCUCUGAUACUGCGCCAGUUAAAGUUUUAACGAAUGUGGAAAAAUAGUAGGGUUUUUCUGUCAUACACGCGUAUAUGAAGAAUUUUUACACUGAUAGAGAAUUAUUCAUAAAAAUUAAACUAAAUUUACUGUUAGCCUCUAAUUUUGUUCUGAGGUAUCUACGCUGUGGUAUUAAGAAAGAUAAGGAAUAAGCCGGAAUGUUCAGAAAGGGGCUUUACUUUUUAUUUUUAAUAUUAUUGAUAAAUUUCGUUUAGUCGAAGCGAUGUCUGCAUGUCUCCCCCCGCCUCCCUCAUAAAACAGCGGGACAGAAAGUCCUGGAAACUCCAAAAGGUAAAUAUUUACUCAGAGGUCUAUUUAAAUUGCUUAGUCUCUGAUGUUCUCCUGUCUCGUACAAAGCCCUCGUGCGGCAGAAGCAGUUUGUCUUUAAUCGGCCACCGUCUCAUCAGCGUUACAGAGUAUUUUGUCCGCCAGCCGCCACCGUCCCAGAUAUUAGUCACCGAGUUCCAGGGCAGAGGAACUUGUGAUAUGGGGGAGCCGGUUGGUGUUGCCGGCACCAUGGAGUCACUCUUUAGUCCGGGACUCUCUCACCGGCUGGAUGAAGAUUGGGAUUCUGCCCUAUUUGCUGAACUCGGUUAUUUCACAGACACUGAUGAGCUGCAAUUGGACGCAGCAAAUGAGACUUAUGAAAACAGUUUUGAUCAUCUUGAUUUUGAUUUGGAUUUGAUGCCUUGGGAGUCAGACAUCUGGGACAUUCACAACCAAAUCUGUACAGUUAAAGACAUUAAGGUAGAACCUCAGCCACUUUCUCCAGCCUCCUCAAGUUAUUCAGUCUCGUCUCCUCAGUCAGUGGACUCUUAUUCUUCAACUCAGCAUGUUCCUGAGGAGUUGGAUUUGUCUUCUGCUUCCCAGAUGUCUCCCCUUUCAUUGUAUGGUGAAAGCUCUAAUAGUCCCUCUUCAGCAGAGCCACUGAAGGAAGACAAGCCUGUCACUAGUCCUAGGAACAAGACUGAAAAUGGACUGACUCCAAAGAAAAAAAUUCAGGUGAAUUCAAAACCUUUGAUUCAGCCCAAGCCUUUAUUGCUUCCAGCAGCACCCAAGACUCAAACAAACUCCAGUGUUCCAGCAAAAACCAUCAUUAUUCAGACAGUACCAACACUCAUGCCGUUGGCAAAGCAGCAGCCAAUUAUCAGUCUACAGCCUGCACCCACUAAAGGUCAGACUGUUUUGCUCUCUCAGCCUACUGUGGUACAACUUCAAGCACCUGGAGUUCUGCCCUCUGCUCAGCCAGUCCUUGCUGUUGCUGGGGGAGUCACACAGCUACCUAAUCACAUGGUGAAUGUGGUACCAGCCCCUUCAGCGAAUAGCCCAGUGAAUGGGAAACUUUCCGUGACUAAACCUGUCCUACAAAGUACCAUGAGAAAUGUGGGUUCAGAUGUAAGUUUUGAAACUUAGUCCAUCUCUUAAUGCCUGAUGUAAAAACCAACAAAAAACACCUUUUGUUUUUGUUGCCUUGCUUUUGUUUUUUUAGAGCUUCUUAUAUCGUAUCAAAUAAAAGAGAGUGCUGAAUUACACUUCUAGUCUUCGGAGGAAAAUUAGGGUAAGGCUUACUAUGUUAGACUCUAAGUGAAAAGGUUUUUGAAAGUCUGAAGUGGUUUGAUGAAAAGCAAAGAAUGCAUACCUCCCUCUUCUUUACUACUUCUUUAGAACCAACCCUCUUAUUACAUUCCUCAAGCCCCUACACUGUCAACCCAGUCAUCCACUAGAAUUUUACAGAUUCUUUCAUGUUUCCUUAUUGAAAUGUUUUAGCAACUCUUCAGAUAAGAGUCUGUAGACUACUUUUUAGGAAGGUUUUAUAUUUAGCUUUCUUUCUUGCCCUUUUGAAGGGUUUUCACUACUUCAUAAUGAUGACUUAUUUGGUACUUUUCCAUUUUUGCAAACCUUUAAAUUUUCUAGCAUGUUGUAGGGAUUUCUUAUAAUUUAUAAAUCACAGUUUCCUAAGAUCUGUCACUUGCUAAAGCCGGCUACUGCACUUGCCAACUAACUCUUGCUUUCUUUCAAAAUGAUUGGAAAUAGCUCAUGUUAUGUGUUAAACAGUAAUUGAACAUAUUGAUCCUAAAAUUUAAUGAAUUUUUUUUUUGAGACAAGUUCUCACCCUGUUACCCAGGCUGGAGUACAGUGGCACGAUCUGGGCUCACUGCAACCUGCUUCUCCUGUGUUCAAGCAAUUCUCCUGCCUCAGCCUCCUGAGUAGCUGGGACUAUAGGCAUGCGCCACCAUGCCUGGCUAAUUUUUGUAUUUUUUAGUAGAAAUGGGGUUUCACCAUAUUGGACAGGCUGGUCUCAAACUCCUGACCUUGUGAUCCGCCCACCUCGGCCUCCCAAAGUGCUGGAAAUAGAAGCGUGAGCCACCGGCACCCAGCCAUGAAUGUUAAAGUUGAAUAGUCAAACAGUGGAUUCUCUA